CCCGUCCCGUCACCGUGUUGGGGAAUCACAGACACAGACCCCCGUCCCGUCACCGUGUUGGGGAAUCACAGGCACAGACCCCCGUCCCCCACACGGGGAG